rnacentral:rRNA from 1 species
AACGAACGCUGGCGGCAUGCCUAAUACAUGCAAGUCGAGCGAGAUCUUCGGAUCUAGUGGCGCACGGGUGCGUAACGCGUGGGAAUCUGCCCUUGGGUUCGGAAUAACUUCUGGAAACGGAAGCUAAUACCGGAUGAUGACGUAAGUCCAAAGAUUUAUCGCCCAAGGAUGAGCCCGCGUAGGAUUAGGUAGUUGGUGAGGUAAAGGCUCACCAAGCCGACGAUCCUUAGCUGGUCUGAGAGGAUGAUCAGCCACACUGGGACUGAGACACGGCCCAGACUCCUACGGGAGGCAGCAGUAGGGAAUAUUGGACAAUGGGCGAAAGCCUGAUCCAGCAAUGCCGCGUGAGUGAUGAAGGCCUUAGGGUUGUAAAGCUCUUUUACCCGGGAUGAUAAUGACAGUACCGGGAGAAUAAGCUCCGGCUAACUCCGUG